CUGCUUCCAGGUCGGAGCCAUGGCGAUGGCAAAUUCAAGCCCUGUCAAUCCCAUGGUGUUCUUUGAUGUCAGCAUUGGCGGCCAGGAAGUUGGCCCCAUGAAGAUAGAGCUCUUUGUGGAUGUUGUGCCUAAGACGGCCGAGAAUUUUGAGCAGUUCUGCACUGGAGAAUUCAGAAAAGAUGGGGUUCCGAUAGGAUACAAAGGGAGCACGUUCCACAGGGUCAUAAAGGAUUUCAUGAUUCAGGGUGGGGAUUUUGUUAAUGGAGAUGGUACUGGAGUUGCCAGUAUUUACCAGGGGCCAUUUGCAGAUGAAAAUUUUAAACUGAGACACUCAGCUCCAGGCCUGCUUUCCAUGACAAACAGUGGUCCCAGUACAAAUGGCUGCCAGUUCUUCAUCACCUGCUCUAAAUGUGAUUGGCUGGAUGGGAAGCACGUAGUGUUUGGAAAAAUCAUUGAUGGACUUCUAGUGAUGCGAAAGAUUGAGAAUGUUCCCACAGGCCCCAACAAUAAGCCCAGGCUCCCUGCGGUGAUCUCACAGUGUGGGGAGAUGUAGUCCAGAGCAGGACUG